rnacentral:rRNA from 1 species
UACAGAGGGUGCAAGCGUUGUUCGGAAUUAUUGGGCGUAAAGAGCGCGUAGGCGGUCCGAUAAGUCGGCUGUGAAAGUCAAGGGCUCAACCCUUGAAAGCCGGCCGAUACUGUCGGACUAGAGUCCGGAAGAGGCGAGUGGAAUUCCCGGUGUAGCGGUGAAAUGCGUAGAUAUCUGGAGGAACACCGGUGGCGAAGGCGGCAUCCUGGACCGGUAUUGACGCUGAGGCGCGAAAGCCAGGGGAGCAAACGGG